rnacentral:rRNA from 1 species
UACGUAGGGUGCGAGCGUUAAUCGGAAUUACUGGGCGUAAAGAGCGCGCAGGCGGUCGUUCAAGUCGCGUGUGAAAGCCCCCGGCUCAACUGGGGAGGGUCACGCGAUACUGAUCGACUCGAAGGCAGGAGAGGGAAGUGGAAUUCCCGGUGUAGUGGUGAAAUGCGUAGAUAUCGGGGAGGAACACCAGUGGCGAAGGCGGCUCACUGGCCCGAUACUGACGCUGAGGCACGAAAGCGUGGGGAGCAAACAGG